rnacentral:tRNA from 1 species
GCGCGAGUGGCGAAAUGGCAGACGCGCCAGACUUAGGAUCUGGUCCCGCAAGGGGUGGAGGUUCAAGUCCUCUCUCGCGCACCA